rnacentral:lncRNA from 1 species
UUAUUUUUCGUCCACACAGGCUGAGACACGGGCAGAGACACGGGUGUGUGUCUCAGUCAUGUGUGACACACGGCCAAAUGACACAGCCGUGUUCCCCUGUAUCUUUUAAGAAUGCAAGUCAGUAUGCUCACACGGCCUAGCACACGGGCGUGUGACUUGGCCGUGUGACCCAAGUCAGAGAGUUACACGGGUACGGACAUGAGCUAGACACGGCCAUGUGUCCUUAUCUCGAAUGCCCACACGGCCUGAGACAUGGGCG